AUCUGGAAGCUAGGUUUUCUCU
rnacentral:miRNA from 2 species